rnacentral:rRNA from 1 species
AAUGAACGCUGGCGGCAGGCCUAACACAUGCAAGUCGAACGGAUCCUUCGGGAUCAGUGGCGGACGGGUGAGUAACGCGUGGGAACAUACCCUUUGGUACGGAAUAGCCCCGGGAAACUGGGAGUAAUACCGUAUGUGGUCGAGAGACGAAAGAUUUAUACGCCAAAGGACUGGCCCGCGUUUGAUUAGGUAGUUGGUGGGGUAAUUGCCUACCAAGCCGACGAUCCAUAGCUGGUUUGAGAGGAUGAUCAGCCACACUGCGACUGAGACACGGCCCAGACUCGUACGGGAGGGAUCAGUGGGGAAACUUAGACAAUGGGGGAAACCCUGAUCUAGCCAUGCCGCGUGAUCGAUGAAGGCCUUAGGGUUGUAAAGAUCUUUCAGGUGGGAAGAUAAUGACUGUACCACCAGAAGAAGCCCCGGCUAACUCCGUGCCAGCCGCCGCGGUAAAAC